UUUUGUCAGAGCCACCCCCAUCCAUGAAACAGGAACAGAGAACAGUUGCAACAUAUAAAGAGGAAAUAACUCAGAUGGAAGAAGGGACCUGCCAGCUGCCUUGGUCAUCAUUCAUCACAGUCUGUUUGUGGCCACUGUAUGCAGUGAGUGAGUCAGCAGGCACCUGCUUAUCAAGGGGACUGCGCCAUAACUCUGAGGAUAACUGAGGGGGCAUUUGUGGUCUUCAGGAAAGUGGACAUCUGUGCUGCUCUUGGCAUGCUGUCAGACACCCUGCUUGCUUGCAUGCCUGCCUGCCACCUCUGACCCAGCUUCGCUGUGGCUUGAAUACUAAUGUACAUAAGCAGUAUAAGAGCAUUGUCAUUGGAGUACGCUCAGAAAUGUCAUUAGCUACAAGGCCAACCCGUGCUUAUCACUAACAUCUAGAAAAGGCUGCUUCUGACACCGGUGCAGAGCCUGAAUGAACUGUGAUAGCUCAUGAUUGUUAUCUGCUCAUAGUAGAGGCACACUAUCCCCAUCACUGUGUCGCUGCACCUAUGAAUGUACCAGUGACAGAAAGCCCAAUCUCACAUCCUGCUACGAGACCUGAUAAUGCAGCCAAGGGUAAAAAACAGUGGUGGCAAUUGGUAUUUUCUUAUUGAAUGGUCACACAGAAUCUCAGGCAAAGCCAUUUAUGUGAUGAUUUGGUGAACAAGUGAUUUGUCAUAGAAAAUCCUACUGAUCCAGGCUGGCUUAUUCACUUAAAGCAUUAUUUAACUUAUAGUAAAACCCUUCCUGUAUCUUACAUUGAAUUAUGUUUGCAAAUGAGCAUUACAUAUUUAUGCGAAACCAGACACCUGUGCAAACCAAAUAACUUCCUGAUGUUAUGUAUGCUUUCUUCAUUUCACUCUCACACAGUCAUAUACAUAAUGUAUUGACUCAAUGUUUACUAUUUAACAUUUCAAAACUGAGAAUAUAUCAGAUGCUUAUGUGGUUUUUAGAAUGGAUUAUCAUUUGGCUUUUUCAGUCCAUACACCCCAAGCACAUAAAUAGACGCACACAAUUUGUUUUUAUGUUUUGUCUUGACCAGGAAACUAAAAAAUAUUUUAAUAUCAAAUUUUUCUGGUAACAUAAAGGUUAAAUAAAAAAAUGUAUAAAAACGCAUUUUGACCUGGGUUAGUAAACUUACUACAAAGUUGGGGUUACAAGGCUUCAAGGGCAGUACAGCAAAAUGUUUUGAUCUCUGUCAUUAUGGUUAAUAUUUAAUCCGAGGUAAAGCAAGAGCAACUUCAAAGAAACAUGAAAAUAUAAUUUUCUUCUCCUUGGAAUGCCAAUGCUAAUCAACUGCACAUCACUUCUACUGUUCAGUACUGGUGGAGGUACUCUACCUGAGUCUCAGUAUAGCAAAACAAAACUUUUUCAGUACC